AUCAUCGUAACCAUAUUUAAUAAAGGAAGGUCCAGAAAAACAUUUAGGAUAUUUUUGCUUUGAAAUGAGAAUUGAUAAUGAAUGUGUUGAAUAAUCUCUGCUGGUCUAAUAACAAUAGAAAUGUUGUAUAACAUCAGAGUAAAUAUGUGUAGCACACAGUAGCACACUACUACAUUGCCUACAGUUUCUUCCCUUUUUUCCCAAUGGAAGGGUUUUUCAUUUUUGGGGGAGUUUCUCCUGUGCCGAUGUGAGGGUUUUGGGACAGAGGAUGUCGCAUGUGUACAGACUGUAAAGCCCUCUGAGGCAAAUUGAAUUAAAUAUGUAGAUAAAGAAAUCUUCAAUAAACCAUAGACAUAAGAAAACAAGUAAAGGUUACAUUUAUUCCCAUAGUUAACGGUAAGGCCGUUUGCAUCGCCAGCUUGCGGGCAACCAGUAAAUAUCCAGGUUGAUUAUUUAUUUAUUUACUUUUGAUGUAAAAAACAAUAGCAAGCCUACACAGAACAAUGUGGUGCAGUUGAAAACAUUUACAAAGUUAGAAUAAUAUAGGGGAAAAAAAGAAUUGGACAGAUCCCCACUCUAUGAAGAGUGGAAAUGGGUUUCUAUAGUUGGGAAUGCAUCCCUCUCAACAGAGAUGACAUCCAGCCAAUCCAAAGACGACGUUUGUAACCAAUCAGAUGUAGAGGUUCCAUGUCCCCGAAAGGACCUUUUCUCGUGAAAGAGGGACUUUUGCUUGCAAAUGUUUGAUUUAGACCUGAUUUGCUCUCGGACUUUGACAUUGAGUUGCCUUCAUAGAGACAGUUAUAUGGCAACAACGGUUAUAUGAGAACAAAGCCACACACAUCAGCGGGAUCAAUCUGCCUGCGGCUGGUUAGCCAGCUACUGGGAGAUUAAUGUUACGCGUUUAUAAAACAGAAGGGAAAAGAAUAUCUCGUACUGUGCGUGUCAGCCAAAUGUUUUUCUCUGCAGUUUAUAAAGAUAGUUUCAACAACUCAGACAAAAGACAAUGCUUUAAUUCAACAUAAAUGAAUGAAAUCAAAUAAAACUGCUUUAAGUUUUUUGUAACAGCUUUACAAAACAUACUGAAACGACAUGCAUUCAUUUAGGUAAAAAGUACAUCAGCUACAGGCAAUAUUAAUGGUCAGUAAUGGUUAACACUGGUAGUAGAUAAUUAGUGUUUCAGAGUAAUUGUCCCAUUGUUUUGAUUGCAGUUGAGGGACAAGAGGAGUGAAGAGGAGGUUUCCUUCCUGAAAACUUAAACAUGUUUAAUAAGUGCAGCUCUGCAGUUUAAAUACUGCAGUGGAAAACAAAUACAAAAAGGCUCCUGUUUAAGUAAAAAUAAUGAAUUUUCUGCCAUCGAGGGGUGAAACCAUCAGCCGCGCUGAGCCCGGGGAGUGGAGAGGCCUCAUUUCAUUCCUCCAGAUGACGGUGCAGAGUCGGAAAACCAGCAGGACGCACGCCAACACCAGCAGUACCACUGAUUAGACACAAAAGAAGUCAAGACAAAGGAAUCACAACAGGUUAAAAUGUUUGAAGACGUUUCCAACCAGAGCCACGAUCACCACGGGGUACACGGUGAGGAUGUUACGCACCCAGCGGUCCAGCACCCAGUUCUCAAGCAGGAACCUGCACACAGGGACAAGCCUCAGCCAACUCGACCAUGUUCUCACGUGCACGGAUGGUGUUACAGCAAUCCCAUCCAACUGAAGUAUACGGAUACCAAACACUCAGACAGCUGCUGCAUUAACCAUCAUUGAAGCUCGUCCAAUCGAAGCUUACCAUCCCACCACCUCUGCAAACAAGAUGCACAGAGAAGCUGUUGCUGCUGUGCUCCUGGCCACACCCCACAGGUGAAGCACCAAUGAGAAGUUGAUCAGAGAAGCAAUGGAAAUCCAUGUGGUGUAGAGAGCCAAACCAUUCUGGACCUGAACAUAUGAACAUCGAUGAGCACAACAGUUACAUCAUUCACCUCGGACUUUCUUCCAAAUUGAGUCGUCAGCAAUACAGCGAAUGCAGAACAUGAAGCAUAUACACACACACACACACACACACACACACACACACACACUUACCAGUAUUCGUAGACAGUACAGGUCUUUCCUAUGGUAUGUCUGUAACCAGAGUCCAUAGUAAUCAGUGGCAAAGCAACAGAAGAACAAAGCAAUGUAGUUGGAAAUGGUCAUCAGGAUUAACACAACCAGAGCUGCUAGCAUCGACCUGGAGGACAGAGACACAGAGAGAGAGUCAGCAGAUGUUUCCUCUGCACAUCUCAGUAGUAUUGUUCAUUGUUUAUCUUAGGCCUUGCCAGUCAGAUCAACGUAUACCAUUGCCGGUAGAAUAUUGUGCACCAUUUCAAUAAAGUAAGUAGUUAUUAUCUCUGAGCUGGUUUAUGGUUUAUGAAUUUCUUUUAAUAUUUUCCCCUUUGUUUAUUUAAGAAAUGUGUUCAUUCAAC
ensembl:lncRNA